UGCAUCGAUGAAGAACGCAGCGAAAUGCGAUACGUAAUGUGAAUUGCAGAAUUCCGUGAAUCAUCGAAUCUUUGAACGCACAUUGCGCCCGCCAGCAUUCUGGCGGGCAUGCCUGUUCGAGCGUCAUUUCAACCCUCGACGUCCCCCGGGACGUCGGCCUUGGGGACCGGCAGCACCCCGCCGGCCCUGAAAUGGAGUGGCGGCCCGUCCGCGGCGACCUCUGCGCAGUACAAGCACUCGCACCGGGAACCCGACGCGGCCCGCCGUGAAACCCCCAACUUCUGAACGUUGACCUCGGAUCAGGUAGGACUACCCGCUGAACUUAAGCAUAUCAAUAAGCGGAGGAAA
rnacentral:rRNA from 1 species